rnacentral:rRNA from 1 species
GUGCCAGCAGCCGCGGUAAUACGAAGGGUGCAAGCGUUACUCGGAAUUACUGGGCGUAAAGCGUGCGUAGGUGGUCGUUUAAGUCCGUUGUGAAAGCCCUGGGCUCAACCUGGGGACUGCAGUGGAUACUGGGCGACUAGAGUGUGGUAGAGGGUAGCGGAAUUCCUGGUGUAGCAGUGAAAUGCGUAGAGAUCAGGAGGAACAUCCAUGGCGAAGGCAGCUACCUGGACCAACACUGACACUGAGGCACGAAAGCGUGGGGAGCAAACAGGAUUAGAUACCCUGGUAGUCCACGCCCCAAACGAUGCGAACUGGAUGUUGGGUGCAAUUUGGCACGCAGUAUCGAAGCUAACGCGUUAAGUUCGCCGCCUGGGGAGUACGGUCGCAAGACUGAAACUCAAAGGAAUUGACGGGGGCCCGCACAAGCGGUGGAGUAUGUGGUUUAAUUCGAUGCAACGCGAAGAACCUUACCUGGCCUUGACAUGUCGAGAACUUUCCAGAGAUGGAUUGGUGCC